rnacentral:rRNA from 1 species
AACGAACGCUGGCGGCAUGCCUAACACAUGCGAGUCGAACGAGAACUUCGGGUCUAGUGGCGCACGGGUGCGUAACGAGGGGGAACCUGCACUUAGGUUCGGAAUAACUCCCCGAAAGGGGUGCUAAUACAGGAUAAUGUCUUAGGACAAAAGAUUUUUCGCCUUUGGGUGGGCCCGCGUUGGAUUAGCUGGUUGGUAGGGUAAAAGCCUACCAAGGCGACGUUGCAUAGCUGGUCUGAGAGGAUGAUCAGCCACACUGGGACUGAGACACGGCCCAGACUCCGACGGGAGGCAGCAGUGUGGAAUAUUGGACAAGGGGCGAAAGCCUGAUCCAGCAAUGCCGCGUGAGUGAUGAAUGCCUUAGGGUUGUAAAGCUGUUUUACCCGGGAUGAUAAUGACAGUACCGGGAGAAUAAGCUCCGGCUAACUCCGUG